rnacentral:siRNA from 1 species
UAAAGGGAGCCACACACCUGG